rnacentral:hammerhead_ribozyme from 1 species
ACACUACUGAAGAAUCCCAUACUAGGAUGAAACAGCCGUUCAGUAU